rnacentral:tmRNA from 1 species
GGGGGCGACAAGGUUUCGACGUGGAUUUCGAAACUCUAGGAGCAUGUCGAGUAUAUAGCUAUUCUCGUAAAAAAUGCUAUUAAAUUUAGUUGCAAAACACGACAACUACGCAUUAGCUGCUUAAAUCCAGCUAAUCAUCUUUCACAAGUGUGCUUGUGCGUUUGAGUUAGAUGUCAUUUUCACAAGAUAGCUAUUAUUUUUCCUGAAAAUAAUAGUAAAACUUNUAAGGAUAGUGUAAUUAAUAAUUUGCCAGUCUUUUUUAAUUACAUGAAAUUCUAGACUUGGCUAAGCAUGUAGCGCCAAAAGUAGAGGGUUUGCGGACGCGGGUUCAAUCCCCGCCGCCUCCACCA